GAUGAACGCUGGCGGCGUGCCUAAUACAUGCAAGUCGAGCGAACAGACGAGGAGCUUGCUCCUCUGACGUUAGCGGCGGACGGGUGAGUAACACGUGGAUAACCUACCUAUAAGACUGGGAUAACUUCGGGAAACCGGAGCUAAUACCGGAUAAUAUAUUGAACCGCAUGGUUCAAUGGUGAAAGACGGUUUUGCUGUCACUUAUAGAUGGAUCCGCGCCGCAUUAGCUAGUUGGUAAGGUAACGGCUUACCAAGGCAACGAUGCGUAGCCGACCUGAGAGGGUGAUCGGCCACACUGGAACUGAGACACGGUCCAGACUCCUACGGGAGGCAGCAGUAGGGAAUCUUCCGCAAUGGGCGAAAGCCUGACGGAGCAACGCCGCGUGAGUGAUGAAGGUCUUCGGAUCGUAAAACUCUGUUAUUAGGGAAGAACAAAUGUGUAAGUAACUAUGCACGUCUUGACGGUACCUAGUCAGAAAGCCACGGCUAACUACGUG
rnacentral:rRNA from 1 species